GGAGGAUGACACUUUUCGGAGCGUAAACUCCUUUUGUUGGGGAAGAACCAUGACGGUACCCAACGAAUAAGCACCGGCUAACUCCGUGCCAGCAGCCGCGGUAAUACGGAGGGUGCAAGCGUUACUCGGAAUCACUGGGCGUAAAGGACGCGUAGGCGGAUUAUCAAGUCUUUUGUGAAAUCUAACAGCUCAACUGUUAAACUGCUUGAGAAACUGAUAAUCUAGAGUGAGGGAGAGGCAGAUGGAAUUGGUGGUGUAGGGGUAAAAUCCGUAGAGAUCACCAGGAAUACCCAUUGCGAAGGCGAUCUGCUGGAACUCAACUGACGCUAAUGCGUGAAAGCGUGGGGAGCAAACAGGAUUAGAUACCCUGGUAGUCCACGCCCUAAACGAUGUAUACUAGUUGUUGCUGUGCUAGUCACGGCAGUAAUGCACCUAACGGAUUAAGUAUACCGCCUGGGGAGUACGGUCGCAAGAUUAAAACUCAAAGGAAUAGACGGGGACCCGCACAAGCGGUGGAGCAUGUGGUUUAAUUCGAAGAUACGCGAAGAACCUUACCUGGGCUUGAUAUCCUAAUAACAUCUUAGAGAUAAGAUAGUGCUUGUUUACAAGAAAUUAGUGACAGGUGCUGCACGGCUGUCGUCAGCUCGUGUCGUGAGAUGUUGGGUUAAGUCCCGCAACGAGCGCAACCCACGUAUUUAGUUGCUAACAGUUCGGCUGAGCACUCUAAAUAGACUGCCUUCGUAAGGAGGAGGAAGGUGUGGACGACGUCAAGUCAUCAUGGCCCUUAUGCCCAGGGCGACACACGUGCUACAAUGGCAUAUACAAUGAGACGCAAUAUCGCGAGAUGGAGCAAAUCUAUAAAAUAUGUCCCAGUUCGGAUUGUUCUCUGCAACUCGAGAGCAUGAAGCCGGAAUCGCUAGUAAUCGUAGAUCAGCCAUGCUACGGUGAAUACGUUCCCGGGUCUUGUACUCACCGCCCGUCACACCAUGGGAGUUGAUUUCACUCGAAGUCGGAAUGCUAAAUUAGCUACCGCCCACAGUGGAAUCAGCGACUGGGGUGAAGUCGUAACAAGGUAACCGUAGGAGAACCUGCGGUUGGAUCACCUCCUUUCUA
rnacentral:rRNA from 1 species